UACGUAGGGGGCAAGCGUUGUCCGGAAUCAUUGGGCGUAAAGCGCGUGUAGGCGGUUCGGUAAGUCCGCUGUGAAAGUCCAGGGCUCAACCCUGGGAUGCCGGUGGAUACUGUCGGGCUAGAGUGCGGAAGAGGCGAGUGGAAUUCCCGGUGUAGCGGUGAAAUGCGCAGAUAUCGGAGGAGACACCGGUGGCGAAGGCGG
rnacentral:rRNA from 1 species